CAGGGCUCCAACCACUGUCAUUUCCUAGAGGGAUGGUUUUCUGACCUCCACUUUCCCCCUCUGAGAGCCCUAGGAGAGGCCCCAAGGCCAGGGCCUGAGAGGAAUUCAGACCCAGGGAAGGUGGCCGGGAGCUGGUCAAGGCAGGCAGGCAGCAGGCUACAGACUCUGGGAACACCGCCCACACACUGCGUGAACAGCGGCCCCUGGAGUUGUCCAAAGGGCACCAGAGGGAAGGGCAAAAAGCAGGCUGAGGAGGCACAGGGGCCCUCAAGGAGACCUCCGGAAACGGAAGCAAACAACUCCUAAAGCCCAAGUUCAAAUUUGAAAUCCACCCUGGUGACAAGGCUGGUCUCGGCACAGGGGUUCCAGGAAGUCUCCUCUAACUGCUCCAGGGCAGGUGACCCAGUUCCCUUGGGCCUGCCUGGCUGAAGCAGGGGGUGCCCACCCAGGAGCCUCAAGGAACCUCACAUGGCCUAACUCCCAGCCACCCCCCCGUCCAGGCUGGGAGUAGCCAACCUGGGAAGGCUCUGCUCAGAGACAGUCCCAGGGUCUGAGGAACAUCAAGAGCAUCAAAAAGACAGUGUCUUCUCUGCUGGGGCUGAAGGGACCCCAGCCUGUGGGGAAGGAGCCCUCACUGUCCUCAUGGCAUGCAACAGCCUCCCUGGGGCUCUGGGAAGCAGACAUGGGGGAAUGACAUGUCUAAUGGGUGACCAAUCAGUCUCCUGUGCCAAUGCACCCCUGCCCUAUCUGCCUCAGGUUCUGACAGUGAAGCCACAUGCAUACCCAAGGUGCAGGAGCCCCUACAAAACUGGGACCCUUGUUUUCUAAUUCCCUUUGCCCAGGUUCAAUCCACCCAAGUAGAUUCAGGAUCAGAGGCUUUGACAGCAGGGGAGCUCCAAGCCUGAACAUCGACCUAGCCUGGGACACCAGGCAGGAAGUUGGGUUUUUUAAUGUAUUUUUUAAAAAAAUAUUGCUAAAUAUUUGCUUCUUUUACCUAAUAUGAAUGAUGUUACUAUGAAA